rnacentral:misc_RNA from 1 species
GUAGUCCUCUUGCCUCAUGUAGGAAGUGGUACGGUGGAAACCAGGAAAGCCAUGGCUGACCUUGUUGUUGGAAAAUUGGAAGCACACUUUUUGAACAAACCUCUGUUAACUCCAGUGGUUUGAUGUUGACAUAAAAAUUUGUGAAUCAAGAAUGAUUGGAGGCUUCUUCAUGCUUCUGGGACUUGCAAUUAAUCUAGAGAUCAUUUCCUGGAUUUGGCAAGAAUGCCAUGAUUUAAGAAAAUAUUCUCAGUCCAAGUUUUAUAUU